ACCACCACCGUGUUGAGCCCGCCUCCUCGUCGCCGAACGUCGCCGAACUCGCCGAGCCCGCCUCCUCAUUCGCCGUAUCAUGAUCAUGAUGAAUAUUUUUUCCUCCAACAACAAGUUCACCUACAACUGCGACAACCACACCUUCAACUUCCUCGUCCAUAAUGGCUUCAUUUGUACUGAAAUUGAUCUGGUUUUGAAACUUUAAUUAAAAUAAAAAAAAGAAACUGAUGAUCCUC